ACAAGCAGCUAAAAGCGUCUUCAAAAUUCACUCAAUCAAUAAAUUGAUGUUGUUUAUUGUGAUAUCCAGUGCAUUUUUAUCUGGAAUACAAAAUAUAUAAUUUUUCUACAAUUUGCUACCACACUACAAUUUGCAUUCCAGUUACCAGAUAGGAUCACCAUAAAGUUUAAACCUCAAGAUGGAUGGGAAAAUGGCAGUAAACGGCCUCAGGCUCCCAGAUAAAUUUUGAUGAUGUUUAUAUCCAGCAGCUUUUAAGAAUGCGUAGACAGCUAUAAAGGAUUUACGAUUCGAUUGGAUUCUAAAUAUAGGGUGUUCCUGAAAUUUGGGAUAUGCAAUCCGAAUAGUUAAAUCAAGAGAAUAGUGGCACUUCCAAGAAUGUAAACAUAUGAUUUGCAUAAUUAUUACCUGGAAUGAUGUGACUAUGGCUGAGAGAGUCUCAUAAAUGGCUUCCCCUGGAGAUCUUGGCACUGGCCGAAAAGGAGUAACGACAU